GGCCAUGUCUGUAGCUCUGCGUAUAUCAUCAAGAGCACCAGUAGAUACACGUCCAGAGUACAAUACUUCUUCCGCAGCACGUCCACCAAGAAGAGUGACCAACCUCCCACGCAAUUCAUCAACAAAGAGCAGAUAUCUGUCCUCAUUGGUUGGAGGAAUAUAAGUAAAUCCUAAAGCCCCUCCAGAUCUUGGCAAUAUGCUCAGCUUCUCAACCCGUGGCUGCCCGGAAAGAAGAUUUGCAACAGCAGUCCCAACUACUGCGUGCCCUGCUUCAUGCCUUGCUACUACACCCUUCUCACUUCCCUGCAGUUUGGCAGUCUUCUUCUCAAUGCCCGCAAUUGAACGCUCAACAGCUUGAAUGAAAUCAAUUCUUUCAACUACAACUUUACUCAGUCUUCCUGCCAACAGAGCAGCUUCAUUCACCAGAUUUGCAAGAUCUGCCCCCGUAAAACCAGUAGUCAUAGAAGCGAUGUUACCAAGAUCAACAUCUUGUGCCAAGGGAAGUUCUUUCUUGGAGACAUGUACCUUUAAGAUAGCUUCUCUUCCACACCUAUCAGGCGCUUCCACCAUUACAACACGGUCAAAUCUCCCAGGUCGGCGAAGAGCAGGGUCUAAGACAUCAGAGCGAUUUGUUGCUCCAAGAACAAUUACAGCAGAAUUACUGUCAAAUCCGUCCAUCUCAGUGAGUAGUUGGUUCAAUGUCUGCUCUCUUUCAUCAUUGCUUACAAUGCGGAAUUUUCCAUCACGGCUUUUUGCCACAGCAUCUAUCUCA
rnacentral:misc_RNA from 1 species